UCUUGGCAAAAUAUUAGUAUCUCCUUUAAAACAAUACAACCACUAGCAUGUUAUUUACCUACUUGGUAACCUACACGGUAUACAUAUUUAUUGGUGUUAACAAGUGCCCUUUGUAAAAAAUAUUGAUAACUUUUCAGCACAAGAAUAACAAGGAUGUUAGCUACUACGUUACAUGCUAGCUAACGUUAGUUGAUUAGCGCGGUGCUAAACACACUCCAUGUUAAAAUGGAAAUUUGGUUAAAUUAAGAAAGAAAAACAGUUAUUUGGCUACGUUUGGCAAAUAGCAUUUUACUAUCAGUUUAAAUCGGAUUAACGUUACUUGUGAAAUUCUGCUAAGUGUACUGUAGUAUAAUUGUAGCUAAGCUUGCUGUUAAAUAGUACCACUCUAGCCAGCAGCACACAGCGCCAAAUUGCAGACAAAUUACUGACUAGUCAUUUAUUUUGAUAACCUGUAUAACAGCUAGCUACAAAAGCCAACUGUAGAUAUGCUCGUAGUUAUAAUUACUAUUAUAUGGUGUGGUAAUGAACUUUUAUCGGUUUUACUAUUGUGGUUGUAUUCAGUGGCUUGCUAGCCAAACAUCAGAUAUAGGCAUGUGUACGUUAACCAAGUAAAUUAUCCAGGGUAUGUUGUGGCAUUUAGCGCGAUGCUAAUUAACAGCAUACUAGCAUGGUGUUAUGACCGUUAGGACACGUGGCCGAAUUUGCCCAUGUUAGUUAAAGUGUGUUUAGUUAGCAUUGGGCUAGAUAGCAGUGGUCGGAAUCAUGUGCUGAUAAAAGCUGCUUGUUGGCUAGCUUGGAAAUAGUUUGAUAACCUGCUUAAUAGUACAAAGGAAAGGUGUUUGCUAGCCAUGCUUCUAAUUAGUAUUGUGAGUUAAACCCUUUAUUUUUUUCAAAAUAUAUUAUUUAAAAACCUAGCUAAGAAUAUUCUAAUGAUUAAUUAGCCUAUUUUUGAAAGUAGUAAUGUUAGCAUAUAUUCUGUUAUUUUACAAUUGUUAGUUUGGGUGUAACGAGAUGUUGAACAAUCCAUGUUAUACAAAUACAUUUAGCAGUUAGUAAACAGGUUUACCUAGACAGCACUUAUAUCUUGAAUUUUUAAUCAAUUUCAGAAUAAUUUGUUAAUUAACAUAUCAACUAAAGUGAAUUUAAAAAAUGUUUGUAAACAUUCUUUUUUAGAUUCUUGGAAAGCCAAAAGCAUUAUUCCUUCAAUGUGUAACGGCAUUCCUCCUCCUCUGACGAGGAGAAGUUUGAAGGAUCGGAGGACCAAUGCGCAGCAAGUGUCCAUAACGUUUAUUUUAAAACAAACUCAACACUAUGAAAUACAAAACAAUAAAUGUGAACGAAACUGAAACAGUACCUUGUGGCAACAAACACUCACACGGAAACAAACACCCACAAACCAAAAGUGAAACCCAGGCUACCCAAGUAUGAUUCUCAAUCAGGGACAACGAUUGACAGCUGCCUCUGAUUGAGAACUAUACCAGGCCGAACUCAAAACCCCAACAUAGAAAAACACACAGACUGCCCACCAACUAACGUCCUGACCAUACUAAAUAAAGACAAAACAAAGGAAAAAGGUCAGAACGUGACACAAUGGAGGAAGUGGAACUAGCUUGUCUUUGUAACGGCUGUCGUCUUCCUCGGACGAGGAGAGGAGAGACGGAUCGGUGGACCAAUACGCAGCGAGGUAUGUUGACAUAAUGAAUUUAUUGAAAAAACUGAAGAACACGACGAACACUUGAAUAAUUACAAAACAAAUAAACGAAUGUAGACAGACCUGGACACGAACUUACAUACAAUGUGAAGAACACAUGAACCAGGAAAACAGACUAUAUAAAACGAACUAACUAACAAAAACCGUAACAGUUCCGUGUGGCGUAACAUACAGACACUGACACAGGAGACAAUCACCCACAAACAAACAGUGAGAACAACCUACCUUAAUAUGACUCUCAAUCAGAGGAAAUGCCAAACACCUGCCUCUAAUUGAGAGCCAUACCAGGCAACCCUUUAACCCAACAUAGAAACACAACACAUAGAAAUGCCCACCCAGCUCACGCCCUGACCAAUAAACACAUACAAAACAAGAGAAAACAGGUCAGGAACGUGACAGUCUUCCUUCAGACCUUUGUGCAUUUUGAGAUGAAACGUGAUUAGAGGACACAAGGAACUACAUAAGUUAAUGUAAUACGCUUUCCAAAAAUGUAUUCCUUUUAUCUGUAGUGCUCUUAGGCUGGUUGUAAAAAUCCUAAAACUCUGACUGUUUAUAGGUCACACAAAUGCAGGGCUCUAUACAGUGUACGUGUUUUACUCACAUUUUCUGAAGUAAUUUAUGGAUUUAAAUCAUUGUUGUUUUCAAAGUAUUUCUGUCAUUUAGUUUCAUAGCUUGACUCUGAAUCCCUUAACUAUAUUUAACAUUGAGCGCAGUGGCAGUCACAGGUUGUCAUAGAUGCAUUUGAAAUAUCCCAACUGAGACUCAGCUAGUUUUCAUGUUUCCUAGCUAUGUAUAUAAUCAAGAUAUAUUUUCCCCAAAUCAGUAUAAGUACUGUAGCUCCAUUACCAUGGUAACCCUUUGGGUUGAAAGUGGCAGCGGAUCAUUUUAAUAAUUUUCCUAUAUUAAAUGCUUAUAGGGUUUUUUAACAAGUGUUUAUUGCUUUAUCUUUGUAGCAAUGUAAUUGGCUAUUUUGCUUGAUGGCCUUAGUGCCCUGGCUGAUUGUUUUGGUGCACUGGCAGAUUAGGCACCCCCUUAAGGCAUAGUGGCCGUGUCCCUAAAAUUCCUUCCCUGGUAUGUUAUGCUCUUCAAACAUGUUGCUCUGGAGUUCACGAGACUGGUGUCUGUGGACCUCAAGAAGACAUUUAAUGAAUGCCUGGACAGUCGUCUUUCCAAGCUCCUUGAAUUCUCCUGGGCCAAGAGUGGUGGAGGGAUGGAGCUAAAACACCUUAUGGACAGUCUUGACAAAGACAGUUCCAAUCAAAGGAAGAGGCUGUGCUCCAAGGCUUGCCAGACUUCCUGCGAGAAGACCCUACCAAUGUUUUGAAGACGUGAGAAGACAACUGAUUCUGAGGAAGUCACUCGCGGAGUGAAAAUCGGUAUACUUGUCAUUGUGGAUGGAGCUGCAGCAGAUGACCCAAUGCCAGCUGACAAUGUGGAUGUUGCCCUUGUGAUAGAAGAGCAAGGGAUCAUACAUGAGCUUCACAAUGUCCCAAAUGCAGUGCCACUUUGAUUGGACUUCUUUAUUGUCUGAACCUGGAUUACCCAAAAUGUUUGAGGUACACUUUUGAGGUAGGUCAGAAAAUAUUCUUGAAGAUUGGUGCAGAAAACUGUACAGAAAAAGUGCAUGGGCUGAAGAACCGUCUUCUUCGUUAAGACAACUAAUUGGUGUGUUUUUGUUUUACUCGCAGUAGAGUUAAUUCCUCGGACAAUGAUGCUGUUAUUUGCCUAAAUCUUACAGAUCUCAGUUUUUGGUAGACUUAAGUUACCCUAUUUUUACGUGUGCCCUUCAGUCUACAAACUACAACCAUCUUUCGUUAGAGACCAUUGAUUUGCUAUCAUCUCUUCCCAUUAACUACAUUGCAUUCUUAAAAUGUUGUGCGUGUUAGAAUUUCACAUUCAACACCAACUUGUCUUAGAAACCAUUCUGAAGAUUGUCUUUGAAUUUUUAUUUACCGUGCCAUAAAACUGUUUCAAUGGUGCCAUUUACAAAUGUG